CACGCUCUAGAGACGAUGUUGACUGUGAUCAGAGACUUUGAAGAGCCAUAAGGAGGAGCAUCCCAUAAGGAGCGUUAGUUUCUCCAGCACCAUGGGGUGAACAAGAGAGUAAUGGUUUAAGUGAAAAUCGAUCCGUACAAGUUCGCUUCUUCCAAUCAGGAGGAUGAACGGAUCGUCCAAGUUUGACAAGCUCUGAUGUGUCCCGACGGUGGAAGAUUCAAAGGUCUUCGAACGACACGGUUCCUUAAUUGUACCACCACCUCCGGCGUCUACGAUGUGAUCAUGGAUUUUGUGGAGAGAUGGUGCAUCAAGACUAACUCGUUUGUAUUCCCUUGAGGCUUAAGUUCUUCUCUACCACAACAUACACAUUCUUAGAUACUUGAUUGUCAUCUCUACCAAGACUUGUAUUCCUCCCAUAAACCUGAGUUUCAGAAGAAGAGUCAUCACCAUUACGGCCUAAGGUCGUCUAAAAGCUGAAUUGGCGCUAGGAACCCUUAUUGCAGCCAGUCUCGUUCAGGUUUCAAUGAUAUCCCAGUCCAUGUGGAGAGUACGGACUUGCACUACUAUCACAUUGAAAUUACGCUUGUGAAGUCGGAGAAGUUUGAUGAACUAAUGGCUGCAGCUAGUGAAGAAAAAGAAGCUGCAAAAGCUCAGGUGUAGAGCUGAACAUAGAAGUU